CAGCAAGGCUGAGAACCACGACUGAGAUGGCUUCAAAUCAGAAACCAGCUUCCCGGCUUGUGGAAUCCCCUACAUGUACACUUGCAGGUGUUUUAACAUAGGCAUGGGUGGUCUGACUGGCUGUGGAAAGGUCAAUUCAUGGGGCAAGACAGCAUGGCUGCCUCCAUGGCACCCAGGACACUCGGAUGGCCACAGAACCUCUGUGGCUGCCUUGGCUGUGUGACUCCACUGAAAAAUAUUUGAGCAAAAUACUUAACAUGAGCUCCUGAUCACCUUGUCAAGUCACAAGUACUGCACUUAUUCAUUUAAUCACAAUCAAGAUGGCGAUGUAGCAAGCAAGGCUACUAAAGGAAAUUUUGAUAACAAAAGUAAAAG
rnacentral:lncRNA from 1 species